rnacentral:lncRNA from 1 species
UCCAGGCAAGCCCACAGCUCUGUGAUUGAUGAGUGUGCUGGGGAGAAAGUGGGAAGGACACAGUGCAACAGUGUUCUUUACUCUGCAAUUGGGAUCUUCUUGUGUAAGGUGAAAUUAAAGAGUUGAAGAAGAGGAACUGAAUGACUGCAAUAAAUAAACUAAAAGGGCUGUUUUGUCAUUAUCUAGGCUGUUGGAGAGGACUUCUGGCUUUUUUCCAGGGUACCUGACUGUCUUAUUGCAUACUGGUGUCAUCCAGGGCAUCCAACAUGAAGAUCUCUAAUGUUAAUGAUAAAGAAAAUUACUUCCCUGCGAUCGGGAUUGGAGUGAGCACAAGUGGCAUCACUGUUCUGUCAGUUUCCCAGGCAUGAUGGAACAGCCCAAAUUCCAGCUGAUCUGCAAACCUGUGCACUUCCCUCUGUAGCUGUAGUAGCAGUGUGGUGGAUUGCUUGUCUGUCCUUCUACCAGACUUACCACAGAGUCUAUUUGGCAACAUUUAAAGGCAAAUUAUGUUUUCCUUCCAGGGAUUGCAAGGGGAUGUUAUGGAGAGAAUAUGGUUCCCAAGCAGCCCUGUUAUCAAUAGGCAGCUAAGAAGGUACAUUAGGAACUUAGAAAUAUUAAAUGCAUCAGGAAGAAGAAAAAAAAAGAAAUUACUGUGGUGUUUUCAACCAGAAUUUCAACUCCUGGUUUUGACAUUGCCAGGUAAGGUUGUAGUAUUUACAAGUUCUCUUCUGUUCUUUCUGUGAUUGUUUGUGU